rnacentral:misc_RNA from 1 species
UACUGAAUUGUCAACACGAGUUGUUGCUGGUCCUCAAGUGGGGGCAUGUGCACGCUCUGUUUACACAUCCACUCACACCUGUGCACCCUCUGUAGUUCUGUGGCUGGGGGACUCUGUCCUCCUGCUGCGGUUCUAUGUCUUUACACACACACUGUAUUAAAGUCUCAUGGAAUGUAUGCUGCGUUUAACGCAAUACAAUACAACUUUCAGCAACGGAUCUCUUGGCUCUCGCAUCGAUGAAGAACGCAGCGAAAUGCGAUAAGUAAUGUGAAUUGCAGAAUUCAGUGAAUCAUCGAAUCUUUGAACGCACCUUGCGCCCUUUGGCUAUUCCGAAGGGCAUGCCUGUUUGAGUAUCAUGAACACCUCAACUCUCAUGGUUUGCCAUGAUGAGCUUGGACUUUGGGGGACUUGCUGGCCUGCAGUCAGCUCCUCUCAAAUGAAUCAGCUUUCCAGUGUUUGGUGGCAUCACGGGUGUGAUAAAUAUCUACGCUUGUGGUUUGCUGCCAGGUAACCUUCAGUGAUGGGGGUUUGCUGGGGCUCAUAAAUGUCUCUCCUCAGUGAAGACACCUUUGUGAAUGUUUG